GUGUAUAAAAGCAGCAAUAAAUCCUCAGUGCAGUCAGUUCUUCUUCACCCUCCAUCUAGAGUCUUGUCUCUUAUUGGGGUAACAGCUAUACAGCCAUCAUACUUGCUCUUCUAAGAGCUCCUUCACUUGGAUGACUACUGGAUGCUGAGAAUACCCCUCAUUCAUCGGGAGAAGGACGUCCUCCACUGGUGGAAACCCCUCUGCUCACCGGGGUAAGCGCUACAUAACCCUUCAUAUUACUCCAUAUAACCCUCCCUAUAACUCUUCCUGUUAAUCCAUAUAACCCCUCCUAUUACUCCAUAUAACCCUCCCUAUAACAUACAGUUCCUGCUUCACUCUCUUGGAGGAGAGGUUCACCCACUGGAACCUAGAGCCUUGUCGUAAUGGGGUGGGUAGGAGACGGCGAGACCCCAACCAAGCUGCGGCGGUUCAUGGGGUUUCCGGUGGUUGUGGUGUCUGGCGGGGCGCUUGGAGCCCUCUGUAAGCGCUAGGAGCAUUCUUCAACUGAGGUACCCAGUGGGGGUGCCAGGUGAUCCGUUACACACCCCAAAACUCAAACAUAUUCCCAUAAAUUAUACAUCCCUGGAUGGCUCUGAUCUGGGUGAAUAUCCAAAAAUCACCCAGAUCAGAGCACGGGGUCAAAGGUUUUGUGGAAGUCACAUUUGACCGACCGCAUGCAUGCACAUUUUCAUGCCCAAAACAGUUCCAGAGAAUUAGGCUGUGCGGCCGGUCUAUUUCCAUUACUAAGAUCUGUUUGAAUGCACAAACGGGGGCCGUUCGUGCAAAUAGUCAAAGUUAAAGUGACGUUCGAAUUGUCAAACGCAUUUCGAUUCCCGUCAAAGUGUCGAAGUCCCGGAGAAGGUAAAGGUCAGCGGUGUUCGUGCCAUUGCGUGUCCGAUUUGAGGUCCAUGAACUCGACGACAAAACACUGCUGAACACGUUCGUCUAAACAAGAUGGCCGCCGCCAUGUGUUCAACUAUACAAAUGGCGGCCACUUUGACCAGUUCUACACUUCGGCUGUUUCCGAAGUGCCACUUCAAAAGUGCAGAUCCUUUCCAAUAGAACUUAAAGGGGCAGAAACAGUGUUUUAGAAUCCAAUAUGCUCAAAUAAUGGUUUUAAAGGGCAAUCCGUCCCAGGGGCCAUAGUCACAGGGCAAGAGGCUGGCAAGCAGGCCUCUCCAAAACCCAGUGGUGAUGUGCGGUUCAUCACAUAACCCUUCAUAUUACUCCAUAUAACCCUCCCUAUAAUCCCUCCUAUUACUCCAUAUAACCCGCCCUAUAACAUACAUAUUUAAUUCAUUUUUUACCACAAGGGACCAUAUUUGAAGCAACAAACUUCAUAUUAUUAUUAUUGCCAUUUAUAUAGCGCCAACAGAUUCCAUAGUGCUUUACAAUAUUAUGAGAGGGGGGAUGUAACUAUAAAUAGGACAAUUACAAGAAAACCUACAGGAACGAUAUGUUGAAGAGGACCCUGUUUAAACGAGCUUACAGUCUUUAGGAGGUGGGGUGAAAAACACAUUAGGACAGGGAAUAGCAAUCAAAUAAGGUGGGAGUGACGCAGAGCUGGAGGAGAGAGUAAAGUGCUGCGCCUUUAGGAGAGAGCAAGAGACAGGUAUGUAAGGUAGAAAAGGCCAUAAGCUUUCCUAAAGAGAUGGGAAUUAAGGCACUUCUUAAACGAUUGAAGACUAGAGGAGAGUCUGAUGGUGGUAGGCAGGCUAUUCCAUAGGAAGGGAGCCGCCUGCAAGAUGUCCUGCAAGCGUGAGUUUGCCGUACGCGUUUGAGCAGCGGACAGGAGAAGAUCAUGGGCAGAGCAGAGAGACCAAGAAGGUACCUAUCGAUCUGUGAAGAAAUAUCAGGGGCUAGAAUUGUUUAAUUCUUUAUAGGUAUGGGUUAGCACUUUGAAUUGACUCCUAUAGGAUACAGGAAGCCAAUAUCUGAUUACAGUUGUUCUUAUAAUACUUUCAACCAUUCAGGGCCGGACUGGCCCACCGGGAUACCGGGAAAUUUCCUGGUGGGCCGCAGCAAGCGCAUGCGCAUUCAGCAGAUGAUGUCGGAAGGAGGAGGAGAGUCCCCAGCGCCGAGGGAGCCCGGCGCUGGAUAAAGGUGAGUGUUUAACCACCUUCCUACCCCUUCAGCCCGGCGGGAUGGGGACCAUGAGGGUGGGGCACCCUCAGGGCACUAUAGUGCCAGAAAAACGAGUUUGUUUUCCUGCCACUAUAGUGGUCCUUUAAAUGGGUGUGGUAAGCCAACCAUCUCACGAUACAGAAAAUAUCUCCAUUCACAACAGCAGCAAAAACACACAAAAAUACAUAAUUCCCAUUACACUGAACAGAACAUUCAACCUAUCCCUCUAAAAGUUCCUUCUUGUAUCCUUUUUCACUAAAAUCAUUAAUAAUUCUAAUGGAUUGUACCCUGAAUUUCUCAUUUUCAGUGCAAUUCCGUUUAAUCCGUAAAAGUUGUGCCUUAGGGGCAUUUAGCAGCCAGGGUGAAAAAUGGCAGCUAUUUUCACAUAUAUAGCUAUUUACAUCUACUUUUUUGAAAAAAGUGCAAGUUUUCAGUGUACUUCCUUCUAUGUAUACAUUAAGAUCCAGGAAUUCAACCGAAGUUUUACUCAAAUUACUAUUAAGGUGGAUACCCCAAUCAUUAGUGUUCAAAUGAUUUAAAAAACAAUUCAGUGAAUCUUCGUCUCCUCUCCAAAUAAAGAAUAUAUCGUCAAUGUAACGGCGAUAGGUAACGAGGCCCGCGGACCACCUGUCAUCGUCAUGGAUAAACUCUUGUUCCCAGAGUGCCAUAAACAGAUUGGCAUAACUGGGCGCGAACCUCGUUCCCAUCGCCGUCCCACAUAUUUGAAGAUAAAAUUGCUCCUCGAACCAGAAAUAAUUGUUCUUGAGGAUCCAUUUUAUGCCCUCAAUUAUAAAAUUAAUUUGUUUGUCAGAAAAGGCAGAAAUUUUAAAUAACUAUUUUCAUUCCGUUUAUAUUAAUGAGGAUCCUAUGGCAAGCGAUAUGCUUUAAAGAAAGAACAGCACUAAGAGAAUUAAGAGAAGACCAAACUAUAGUGAUUAAACCGGAGGACAAGGGAGUAGGUAUAGUCAUCCUUGACAUCGAGGAAUAUGUAAAAGAAUCUUUAAAACUACUAAAUGAUUGCAAUACAUACCAAAUCUUACCGAAAGACCCUACAAAGGACAUUACCAUUAGCUACAACACUCUUAUUGAAAAAGGCAAAACAUUAGAAGUUCUAAAUCAGCGGGAAUAUAAAUUCCUCAAUGUACAACACCUGAAAAUUCCGGUAUUCUACUACCUCCCGAAGAUACAUAAAGAUAGAGAUAGACCACCCGGGAGACCUAUUGUCUCAGGGAUUGGAUCUAUCUCUAGCAAAUUAUUUCAGUAUAUUGAUAAAUGUCUACAAACAAUUGUAAGCACUAGUCCCAGUUAUCUACGUGACACUAUUCAUGUAUAUACAAAUUCUACAUGACAUCACAUGGGAUGAUAACUACUAUCUUGUGACAGUCGAUGUCAGUUCUUUCUAUAUACGAUAAUUUCUCACAGCAUGGGCUGCAGAGCUACCAAAUUUUUUUUAGAAAAUUCACAGAAAUUUUCUGACAAACAAAUUAAUUUUAUAAUUGAGGGCAUAAAAUGGAUGGGAAAUGCAGCAGCUACUGGUAAAUUUCUAAAUAAAAUUAGAUCCCAAUAAAAUUACAUUAAUUGAAUAUUUAUUUACAGUGUGUGUAUAGAAUGAAUGCAGUUUGUGUUUGUGUGUUGUGUGUGUAUAUAAUGA